UUGUUCGGAUUCACUGGGCGUAAAGGGUGCGUAGGUGGCGGGGUAAGUCUGAUGUGAAAUCUCCGAGCUUAACUCGGAAAUGGCAUUGGAAACUAUCCUGCUCGAGGGUUGGAGGGGGGACUGGAAUACUUGGUGAAGCAGUGAAAUGCGUAGAUAUCAAGUGGAACACCGGUGGCGAAGGCGAGUCCCUGGACAACUCCUGACACUGAGGCACGAAAGCUAAGGGGAGCAAACAGGAUUAGAUACCCUGGUAGUCCUAGCUGUAAACGGUGCACGUUUGCUGUAAAAGGAAUCGACCCCUUUUGUGGCGUAGCUAACGCGUUAAACGUGCCGCCUGGGAAGUACGGUCGCAAGAUUAAAACUCAAAGAAAUUGACGGGGGCCUGCACAAGCGGUGGAGUAUGUGGCUCAAUUCGAUGCAACGCGAAGAACCUUACCUGGCCUUGACAUGCAAGUAGUAGAAGGAUGAAAGUCUAACGAGGUAGCAAUACCAGCUUGCACAGGCGCUGCGUGGCUGUCGUCAGCUCGUGUCGUGAGAUGUUGGGUUAAGUCCCGCAACGAGCGCAACCCCUGUGUCCUGUUGCCACUCGAACGAGAGUUCGAAGCACUCUGGACAGACUGCCUCGCUUAAACGAGGAGGAAGGUGGGGAUGACGUCAAGUCAGUAUGGCCCUUACGGCCAGGGCUGCACACGUACUACAAUGCCCGGCACAAAGGGAAGCAAGACCGCGAGGUGGAGCAAAUCCCCAAAAACC
rnacentral:rRNA from 1 species